CACACAUCAUAAAAAGAAGCAAUAUGGCAUUUUCUACCCAUGUGGAAAGACCAAUUAUCCUAAACUAAGCCUGAGGUUUAAUACCUCUGCAUUUCUCAAAUGGUUCUCAUGACUCUUUCACUAUAAUUCUGCUGCUUUAUUUUUUCUUGUACUGAGAAAAGAGAACUAACUAAGGUCCUAUUUUUGUUCCCUUUUUCAUAGGUGAAGUAACUGGAGCUUAGAGAGAUUAUUUUGUCACUUUCCCGUGUCACAGCUUCCAGUGAUGGGGUUUGGCUCUGAAGCCACAGGGUGGCUGUCUGCACCUUUCAACUCAACUCUGGAUCACUGCCUCCCACCCAUCAGUCCUUCACCUCUGCCUUGUCUUCACCUCUCACAGCUGGUCGGUUGGCCAGAGUUUCUCAUCAAGGAGUACAUGCUGUUUGCUCCCCAGAUGGACAGCCUGGAUGAGCUACAAAUCCACAGAGCCUGGGACACAAGGCUGCUGGCCAGAAACCAAUGUGGGUAA
rnacentral:lncRNA from 13 species